rnacentral:rRNA from 1 species
GACGACGCUGGCGGCGUGCUUCACACAUGCAAGUCGAACGGGGAUAGAGCGCAGGCUUGCCUAUGCUCUUUCCUAGUGGCGGACGGGUGAGUAACACGUGAGCAACCUGCCCGACAACCCGGGAUAACAGCGGGAAACCGUUGCUAAUACCGGAUACUCCAGUAUUAACGCAUGUUAGAACUGGGAAAGGGUUUACCGAUGUCGGAUGGGCUCGCGACCCAUUAGCUUGUUGGUGGGGUAAUGGCCUACCAAGGCUGCGAUGGGUAGCUGGUCUGAGAGGACGAUCAGCCACACUGGAACUGAGACACGGCCCAGACUCCGUACGGGAGGCAGCAGGUGGGGUAAUUUUGGACAAUGGGGGCAACCCUGAUCCAGCCAUGCCGCGUGAGUGAAGAAGGCCUUCGGGUUGUAAAGCUCUUUCAGACGGAAAGAAAACGCAUCGGUGAAUACCCGGUGUGGAUGACGGUACCGUAAGAAGAAGCACCGGCUAACUACGUG